UACGUAGGGGGCAAGCGUUGUCCGGAUUUAUUGGGCGUAAAGAGCUCGUAGGCGGUCUGUCGCGUCGGCUGUGAAAACUCGGGGGCUCAACCCCGAGCCUGCAGUCGAUACGGGCAGACUAGAGUGCUGUAGGGGAGACUGGAAUUCCUGGUGUAGCGGUGAAAUGCGCAGAUAUCAGGAGGAACACCGGUGGGCGAAGGCGGGGUCUCUGGGCAGUAACUGACGCUGGAGGAGCGAAAGCGUGGGGAGCGAACAGG
rnacentral:rRNA from 1 species